rnacentral:rRNA from 1 species
CACGGGGGCAACCCUGGUGGCGAGUGGCGAACGGGUGAGUAAUGCAUCGGAACGUGCCCAGUAGUGGGGGAUAACUAGUCGAAAGAUUAGCUAAUACCGCAUACGACCUAUGGGUGAAAGCGGGGGACCUUUACCGGCCUCGCGCUAUCGGAGCGGCCGAUGUCUGAUUAGCUAGUUGGCGGGGUAAAAGCCCACCAAGGCGACGAUCAGUAGCUGGUCUGAGAGGACGACCAGCCACACUGGGACUGAGACACGGCCCAGACUCCUACGGGAGGCAGCAGUGGGGAAUUUUGGACAAUGGGCGCAAGCCUGAUCCAGCCAUGCCGCGUGCGGGAAGAAGGCCUUCGGG